rnacentral:rRNA from 1 species
UACGGAGGGUGCGAGCGUUGUCCGGAAUCACUGGGCGUAAAGGGCGCGUAGGCGGCCUGAUAAGUAGGGGGUGAAAUCUUGCGGCUUAACCGCAAGGCUGCCUUCUAAACUGUCAGGCUCGAGCACAGUAGAGGCAGGUGGAAUUCCCGGUGUAGCGGUGGAAUGCGUAGAGAUCGGGAAGAACAUCAGUGGCGAAGGCGGCCUGCUGGGCUGUUGCUGACGCUGAGGCGCGACAGCGUGGGGAGCAAACAGG